GGGCAGUCGCCCGUGCGCGAGGCAUCGUGCGAGAGCAUCUUGAAUGUAAACCCGACUUGUAAGGAAUAACACCUACAUCAACGCACUUACACGUACCAAUCAGAAAAAACGCACGCUCGCGUGCAAGCGAGCGAGCAAGCAUCCGGAACCACGACAGAAUAAUAGAAUAUCGGGAAUUUGAUUCAACGAGUGAAUUGAAAAGUGUUGUUCCGGCAAGUCGAACAAAGUCGGUGUGGCGACAAGAAAGAGAGAACCGUUAAAAAGUGUUCGCCCGUGUCGUGUCACAGUUUGUGAUAUAAGAGUGCCCUCUCUCUCUCUCUUUUUCUCUUUAGACGCUUUUUCUUUUUUUUUUUUUUUUAUUAUAAAUGUGUCGGAGAGUCGGAUCUCGGUGAUCGUGAGAACAUCCUUAAAACGAGGGCGCGCGUUGGGAGAGGAUUAAUUGAAACAAGAAACAAAUUGUACGUGAGCGUAAAAAGAAGCGCGUUAGAAUCGAUGAAAAAAUCGUCGAGGAUGGCUGCCCCAGGUCCGGGACUCGAGAUGUUUCGACAAAUUUAUUUGACGCCGGAGUGAAAGGGGCGCAGAGGGCGGGAGGGGGGGGGGAGGGGCGAGGAAAGGACGGCAAAUUAUAAAAUAAGGCUCUUUUUCAUUACAUUACCCCGUGGUUCCUCCCAUUUUAUAUCGUCCCUAUUUGUUAUUGUGCUUUUUGUUUAUUUUAUUUUUCUUUCUGUUCACUACGUUGUUUCGUCGUUCGCAUUCUCAGUACGUGUCGCAAAGUAAUGCGUUUUUAUAGGUACUGAAAAGAAAUUAAAAACUGUUAAAGUGUGGUGUAUUCGUGUGUUUGCUGCGUAACCGCGGGUGGCGUCUUGCCUACUCGUGUAAACUCUUUAGACUCGUGCCUCCGUGUGGAGUCAUGGUAUCGAAGCUUGAUGUAAAUAUCGGCUCAGAAGCUCCGAGCUUUUCCACGACAACGACAACUACACGACAUCUCAAUCGUUCUCAAACGAAAACCAAAGAUCCACAACAACAACAACCACCACAACAACAACAACAACAACAACAACAACAACAACAACAACAAAUGGAUAAUAAAGCAUCGAGUCGUACCAAUCUUAAUAAAGAUAUGGGAGACAGGAGUGAAUCUGAUUUCGAGUUCGGAAUUCCCCCUGAAGCUCCCGUCUUCGAACCCACCGCCGACGAGUUCCUCGAUCCUCUCGGUUAUAUCGCAAAAAUACGACCGAUCGCUGAAAAAUCCGGAAUAUGCAAGAUCAAACCGCCACCCAACUGGCAGCCCCCGUUCGCAGUGGACGUUGACAAGUUCAAAUUCGUUCCGAGGAUACAAAGACUGAACGAGCUCGAGGCUAAGACCCGGAUAAAACUCAAUUUUUUAGACCAAAUUGCGAAAUUUUGGGAACUUCAGGGAUCAUCGUUGAAAAUACCUCUCGUUGAGAGGAAAGCUUUGGACCUCUAUUCUCUCCACAGAAUCGUAACCGAAGAAGGUGGAAUCGAAAAUGUAACGCGGGAACGAAGAUGGGCCAAGAUAGCGAACAAAUUGGGAUACCCAUCGGGUCGCAGCGUCGGGAGUAUAUUGAAGAAUCAUUACGAGAGAAUUCUGUAUCCAUUUGAUGUUUUUAAGCAAGGAAAAACACUUGGACCGUUGGACGAUAUCAAAUUCGAGUCCGAGGCUGAGUUUCCGGAAAAGAAAGAUCGCGAUUACAAGCCCCACGGGAUAAUAUCGCGACAGCAGAUAAAGCCACCACCGGCGAAAUUUUCACGUCGCUCGAAGCGCUUUGCCGGCGAGGACAAGCAACAGGAUGCCGGAACAAUUAAACAAGAGGACUGUAAAGAGGAGUGCGACUCGGACACGGAUUGCAAGACGCCCCUCAAGCGAGAAAAAGAGGAUCCGGAUGACAAAGACAGCAAGGAACUGAAAAAGCUACAAUUUUACGGGCCUGGUCCAAAAAUGGCAGGUUUCAAUACCAAAGAAGGCGGCGGGGGCGGGACCGGCGGCCCGACACCCGGAGGAGGCGGCGGUAAAAAGUCGAACAAAACGCGAGGGGUCAAGUUGACGUACGAGUUUGAUCCGUUGGCUAAAUACAUUUGUCACAAUUGUGGACGAGGCGACAUGGAGGAAAGCAUGCUCUUGUGCGACGGUUGCGACGACAGUUAUCACACUUUUUGCCUCUUGCCUCCGUUGACCGAGAUACCGAAGGGCGAUUGGCGAUGUCCUAAAUGCGUUGCCGAGGAAGUCUCCAAGCCCAUGGAAGCUUUCGGCUUCGAACAAGCACAGCGGGAAUAUACCCUCCAACAAUUUGGCGAAAUGGCCGAUCAGUUUAAAAGCGAUUAUUUCAAUAUGCCCGUUCACAUGGUGCCGACCUCUCUCGUCGAGAAAGAAUUUUGGCGUAUCGUUUCCUCCAUCGACGAAGACGUUACCGUCGAAUACGGCGCUGACCUUCAUACGAUGGAUCAUGGCUCUGGUUUUCCGACCAAAACGAGCGUUAAUCUCUUCACCUGCGACCAAGAAUACGCCGAAUCUGCGUGGAAUUUGAACAAUUUACCGGUCCUCGAAGGCAGUGUCCUCGGACACAUAAAUGCCGAUAUCAGUGGUAUGAAAGUCCCUUGGAUGUACGUCGGCAUGUGUUUCGCCACGUUUUGCUGGCACAACGAGGAUCACUGGAGCUAUUCCAUUAAUUAUUUACACUGGGGCGAACCCAAAACUUGGUACGGUGUACCAGGCUCCCAGGCCGAGAAAUUCGAACACUCCAUGAAAUCAGCCGCUCCCGAACUCUUUCACAGUCAACCUGAUUUGUUGCAUCAACUUGUUACUAUUAUGAAUCCAACCAUUCUUACGAACGAAGGUGUUCCGGUAUUUCGAACCGAUCAACACGCCGGUGAAUUCGUCGUUACGUUUCCACGCGCAUAUCACGCCGGUUUCAAUCAAGGUUACAAUUUCGCCGAAGCCGUUAAUUUUGCCCCUGCUGAUUGGCUUAAAGUCGGCCGCGAUUGUAUCUCUCACUACUCGAAUCUUCGUCGCUUUUGUGUCUUCUCCCACGACGAGUUGGUCUGCAAAAUGUCCCUCGAUCCGGACUCUCUUGACAUCGGCAUAGCCGCUGCAACUUAUCAGGAUAUGCUGCAAAUGGUCGACGACGAGAAGAAACUUCGAAAGAAUUUACUCGAAUGGGGAGUGACGGAAGCGGAGAGAGAAGCUUUUGAGUUGCUGCCGGACGAUGAGAGACAAUGCGAGGUGUGUAAGACAACGUGUUUUCUGAGCGCCGUGACGUGCUCCUGUCACAGCUCGCAACUGGUCUGUUUGCGUCAUUUCACCGAGCUGUGCGCUUGCUCGCCAGAAAAGCAUACCCUGCGCUAUCGUUACACUCUUGAUGAAUUGCCCAUUAUGCUUCAAAAACUGAAACUGAAAGCAGAGUCCUUUGACUCUUGGGUAUCCAAAGUCAAGGAGGCCAUGGAUCCAAAAGGAGAAAAAAUUGAAUUGACCGAACUGAAAGAUCUACUCAACGAGGCAGAGAGCAAAAAGUUUCCAGACAGCGAACUCUUGACUGCGCUCACAACCGCUGUUCAGGAUGCUGAAAAAUGUGCCAGUGUUGCUCAGCAACUUCUAAACAACAAACAACGCACGAGGACACGACAAUCGGUCGAUACUAAGUACAAGUUGACGGUCGAAGAGCUAACUCUAUUCUAUAAAGAGAUAACAAAUUUGUGUUGCGAGCUUAAAGAAUCCGACGGAGUCAAAUAUAUCCUGGAUCAGGUGGUACAAUUCCAGAAAGACGCAGAAGAAUUUGAGACAAAGACAGGUGAAGAUUAUGACCUUGCUAAAUUGGAGAAAUGCAUAGAUUUUGGUGACUCGAUAUGCAUCGAAUUGCCCCAAUUGGCGAGAUUGAAGCAAAAGCUGAGUCAGAUACAGUGGCUGGAAGAAGUCAGAUCAAUGCAAGAAGAUUCUAAAUCUAUAACGCGCGAGGACGUUGCUAAAUUGUCAGAAAAAGGUAUGCUCAUACCACCGCAUUACAGUAUCGAAAAAAUGCUUUCGAAGCUGCAAGAAUUAAUGGCGAGCAUCGAUGCAUGGGAGGAAAAGGCAAAGGUUCAUUUGAGCUCAAAGAACCGACAAAAUAUCGUUGCAAUCGAGGAACUGGUUCAGGAGGCCGAUGAUAUCGACGCUUAUUUGCCUAGUCUCGACAGCCUUCAGGAUAUUCUUACGAAAGCAAAGAAUUGGACAAAAAAUGUGGAGGAAAUUCAAGCUCGGGAGAAUUUUCCUUACUACGACACGCUUGAGGAGCUUGUACGUAAAGGGCGCAACAUUCCGCUACAUCUCGAUGCUCUACCGAUGCUCGAAUCAACCCUCUCCCAGGCUAAAGUUUGGAAAGAACGAACGGCGAGAACAUUUUUACGAAAAAAUUCUCAUUACACCCUCAUGGAAGCGCUUUCACCUCGAAUCGGUGUGGGCGUUCAAGCACUUAAAACUAAAAAGAAUAAGGGUGACGAGAGUAUCGGUGCCGUAUUCGUUUGUGACACGAAACUAGACGACACGAGCGAAUCUGCAGACGUCGUUGCUGCUUUCAAAUUAGCCGAACAACGCGAGAUGGAAGCUAUGAGAAACUUGAGGGAAAGAAAUCUCGUCAAAGCUAGCCUCGAACACUCGAGGUAUUGCGUCUGUCGGAGACCCAGGUUCGGUCUUAUGCUUCAGUGCGAAUUGUGCAAGGAUUGGUUUCAUUCCAAUUGCGUACCACUUCCAAAGACCAUGUACAAAGGCAAAGUACCGAACAAUCGAGAAACAAAAUUCUUGUGUCCGUGUUGUCUGAGAUCGAGGAGACCCCGGCUCGAGACGAUCCUCGCUCUUCUUGUUAGUCUACAAAAAAUUCCAAUUCGCUUACCCGAAGGCGAAGCUCUACAGUGUCUGACUGAACGUGCUAUGAACUGGCAAGAUCGUGCGAGACAAGCCCUUGCAACGGAUGAGAUAAGCACCGUACUAAGUAAACUAUCGGUACUCUCGCAAAAACUCGUAGAAGCUGCUGCACGUGAAAAAACUGAAAAAAUUAUCAGCAGCGAAUUGAAAAAAGCUGCAAAUAAUCCGGAACUUCACCGGCGAGUUCAAGCCAUUGCUCCCUUGAGCGGUGUCCACUCGGACGACAGUGUCCUCAGCACUGCUGACGAUGACGACGAUGUCGUGACGAUCGACGGAGACGAGCCAACUUGCAGUACGUUUAACAGUAGCGAACACGCUUAUUCCUAUGUAUCGAAAUUCCAACGAAAAUCGCAAACUCAAAACUCGGAGACUUCCGUAGUAUUGUCGGAGAAGGCGAGAACGCGAUUAGAGGAGCUGAUGAUGGAGGGUGAUCUUUUGGAGGUCGCUCUUGACGAGACACAGCACAUAUGGCGAAUUCUCAGUCACACGAAUAGUCCGAGCAGCGUGAGAAAGUAUGCGGCAUUUGAAGAGGUUCAGUCCAAUCUCAGUAGUGACAUUAAGGACGUGAAAAAACGCGGUAGAAAGAGAAAAUCCGACGAGUUUGAAAUGAUGAAAAAACUGGGUCGUCAAAAAGUAGAAGACAAAAGCCCAUCGAACGUCGUUAAGCGCAAAGGUGGCUUGAAUAAUAAAGAGAAAAAAGUUGUUUCUACUGCUGCGACAACGACAACGACAACGACGACGACAUCAGCAGCGUCAGCGGCAGCGGCUACAACGACGGCAGCAACGACGACUCCAACACCGCCUGGCCCGUUGAAACGAGGACCUCGAAAGAUGAAACGAAAGGAGGGCGAAGAACUGCCCAAGAAGCGUGGAGGAAAUAGGAAAAAAACGAAGCAAGAUACUUCAGACGAGGAGGAUGAUUGUGCGGCGGUCAGUUGUCUUCGGCCAAGUGGCAGGGAAGUAGAUUGGGUUCAGUGCGACGGUGGUUGCGACGGUUGGUUCCACAUGCAUUGCGUGGGGUUGGACAGAGCAGAAAUCGCCGAGGAGGACGAUUAUAUUUGCAGUAAUUGCAAAGAUCCUGAUCAAAAUGCGACGAUUCAAGAGAGCAAUCGUUUUAUGCGCUGAGAAUUUGGACUGAAAAGUGCAUCACGUUAUUAAAACAAGCUACAUACACACACAAAAUUAUAUACAAUUACACGAACGAACACACAUAUACGCGUAACACGAAAGAUUUAUAUAAAACAAUUGGAAAGAAUUAAGCAAGUUGACGAGAGAAACACAAAUACACGAGCAGUUUCACGAUCGAGACUAACGAGUGACGGACUCGAAAGUAUUGUCACAAGUCCCAGGGAUACCACAGCGCCGACACUGAACCGGAAAUACUGGAAACAACCUCCUUCGUCAAGAUCUACUAGUCCGCUUAUUCGUUGUCUCUCUCAGUCUCAUCUCUCGUUUUCCUUCGAGCAUCGGAGGAGGUGCUAUUGAGGAUAUCCGAAAUGAUGAAGAUUAAUCAGGGAAGAUCGAGGAUGAGAAUCGUCUCCAACUGAAAUAUGAGGAAAGGAAAAAACAGCGAAAUUUCCUUUGUGCGCUCGAGAAUCUAUGAAAAUUUCAUUGGCUUCUUUGUUUUUCAUCAAAAAAUCCUCGAUGGUGAAUCUUUGCCCUGCUGCAUCUUUGACAUACAUUGCAGAAAGAUCAGAAAAAAAAUGUGAAAUAUGGGGAAGGAGCUCUCGUACGUACAUAAACCAGUAGUGAUAUAUAAAACUCAAAAAUAGUCCCGUGAAACUAUUCGCUCGUUCAUCUCGGUCUCUCGACUUAUUUGAUCAGAAACAAGAAAACAUUAAAGACAUUAGCUAAUCUGUGCCGCGUGAGAAUUCCACUUUUCAAAUCCUCAUUCGCCCCGUGUAAAGUUAUUGACUGAGCAAAUGAUGUAUUUGAAGUGUAAGAGAAGAAAUAUUGAUCAACCAUAGAUUAUAAAUUAAAAGAGAGAGAGAGAGAGAUCGUGAAAGAACAUAUUAGUUUAUUUCAAUAUAGAUUUUCGUCGUAUCAAAAUGAUUUAUGCAAACGGAUGAAUACCGAAACUUUUACCUAUUCUACAAAUCUACAAAGAAAAUAAAAAACAGAUUGGCUCAUGGUAGGAGACAACGAGUAUCGCCCAGUCCCUCCUAUUCCUUACCGCGAUCUUGUUUUUUUUUUUUUUUUUUUUAAUUUUUCAAUUUAUUACUAAAAAAAGUGGUUGAAAUAAUGGAAAGAAAAAAGUCAUUUGAAGACGUUAAUCAGACUUCCCAGAGAGCAAAACAAAUUAAGCUUUUCCUCGUCUUGGGACGAAAGCGGAAAUGAAGUAUAAAUACAUAUAUGUACAUAAAUAUACAUAUAUAAUAAAAGCAAGAAGCUUGAUUCGAUUGAAUCGCCGUGUAAAUACGCCCACUCGCGUCUCCUGCUUUUGGGCUAAUUAUUAUUUAAGUUGAUCCACACACCUGAAAUAGAAAAAAAUAUGCGGGCAGAGAGAGAUAGAGAGAAAGGGCAAAAGGCAUCGUCUUGUUGCAUUGUAUAAAGAUGAUUUAAGGAAGGUACUUGAGAGAUAAAUCGUUUUAUUCUGAUUUAAACAAAAAGAAAACAACGUUCUUAAUGAACACUCCGAAACUUUGUACAAUUAUUGCUGUUGAAAGAUCGAAUUUGAGUUUUUAAACGAACUUAAAGUUAACGUAGCAUAUGGAUAUGUAUUUAGAGAUGUAAGAGCACGACACACAGUGUGUUUUAAAUGCGAGGAUACCCUCACGAGAAAUACGAAAAAAAAAAAAAAAAAAAAAACACGAGUGGUAUCGUUUAAAACAGGCUGUGACAAGAAAGGGAUGAUAAAUUUGGUAAAGUUCUUGAUUGAUCUUUGAAGGAUCUUGAAAAGAUAACGGAGAUUUGAACCGUGAUAUUUUUAAUGAUAACCGACAACAUGCUUGUCGCGUUUGAAUUGACAGAAAAAAAACUAAAGGAAAAAAUUCCGCACGAAUUUUCUUUUUUUUUCCUGUCAAGAUAUCAUCCAUACUAUUUCAUACAUCAACUUGCUUUUUCAUUCUUCAUUUUUUUUGCUCGCAUUAAAUUCAGAAUAAUGUUUUUUUUUUUUUUUUUAUUGUUCCACAUUCAAUUUAGCUCUCCGGACUUGCCGUCAUUUUUUCUUCUAAUUUUCGUUGUUCCAAGCUCUUUGCGGAUUCUCGGUGAUAAUAUUUUGUUGAAGAAAUUUUAUUUUUUCUUUCGAGUCAAUUUCACACGUGAAAAUUACAGUAUUCCGUUCGCGACACAUUGUAACAUAUUCAUAUAUUUAUUUUUUGUUCAUGAGACAUUUUUUUAAAGUUCUCGACUUUUCGAUAAUCUCUGUAAAAAGUUGAAUGAAAAUAUGACGGAUCGAAUGGUUGUUGAAACUUGAAGAAAAAGUGCGUAUUGCGUAAAAAAAAAUGUAGGUACACUCCAAAAACACGAGCUCUUAAGUUUUCAUUUUUGUUUUGACGCGUGGGAAUAUAUUUCACCUCUUAGAUAUUUGUAUAAACAAAAAGUAUGUUUCAUCGCCUGUGACGUAUCGUUAUCGGAUAAUUCGUUUUGUUUGUACCGAACCGCAAAUCAAUAAGUGUCGCAGAAUCCCGAAAAACCGUGCGAGAGGUUUCUUGAAAAAAAAAAAAAUAAGGCUCAAGUAUUACUCGAAUGACCGGAUAAAAAUACAAUCGAGCAAAAUUCUUGCGUUUCCAAAAAGAGAACAAAACGAGAUGGAGUAAAAAAGCGUAUUGCAGUCGACAGCAUAAAAAUACCUAUUUUACUAAACUACACUGAAAUAAAAUAGCCUAGUUUAACGUACACAUUUACAACAAUAUAAACAGAAAAAACACAUAUACAUACGUAUAUAUAUACGCCAAUGUAUAUAUAUAUAUAUAUAUAUAAAUAUGUGUGUGUGGAUAUUUAUCACGACAAAAGAUUAAGAUUUAAAAAAAGGUUUAAACGACGAUGUAGUUAUUUAGAGAAUGAGGAGCGACGUUUAUAAGAUUAUAUCGUAUUGAUUUCUGGUAAAAAUAUAUAUUAAAUGUAUAAGUGUAUCAUCAGAUA